rnacentral:rRNA from 1 species
ACCGUAAGGCCUCGCGCAAUAGGAGCGGCCGAUGUCUGAUUAGCUAGUUGGUGGGGUAAAGGCCCACCAAGGCGACGAUCAGUAGCUGGUCUGAGAGGACGAUCAGCCACACUGGGACUGAGACACGGCCCAGACUCCUACGGGAGGCAGCAGUGGGGAAUUUUGGACAAUGGGGGCAACCCUGAUCCAGCAAUGCCGCGUGUGUGAAGAAGGCCUUCGGGUUGUAAAGCACUUUUGUCCGGAAAGAAAUGGCUCUGGCUAAUACCUGGGGUCGAUGACGGUACCGGAAGAAUAAGCACCGGCUAACUACG